rnacentral:rRNA from 1 species
CCUACGGGAGGCAGCAGUGAGGAAUAUUGGUCAAUGGACGCAAGUCUGAACCAGCCAUGCCGCGUGCAGGAAGACGGCUCUAUGAGUUGUAAACUGCUUUUGUACGAGGGUAAACGUAAAUACGUGUAUCUGUCUGAAAGUAUCGUACGAAUAAGGAUCGGCUAACUCCGUGCCAGCAGCCGCGGUAAUACGGCGGAUCCAAGCGUUAUCCGGAUUUAUUGGGUUUAAAGGGUGCGUAGGCGGAUGGAUAAGUUAGAGGUGAAAUGCUUAGAUAUCACAAAGAACUCCGAUUGCGAAGGCAGCCUGCCAGACUGCUACUGACGCUGAGGCACGAAAGCGUGGGGAGCAAACAGGAUUAGAUACCCCUGUAGUC